GAAAGUUCUUUGUACAUCUUAGAUCUUCGUAUGCAACCACAAGCAACGAUGUUUGUUUAUAUUCUCGACUUUGCUUUGCCUUGCCAAAGAGUUUUAGAGAAAUUUGAUUUGUUUUGUUUUCUUAUUUACUGUUCAUCGUUGUGUUUUGUGUUUGGUUGAAGCUCUAUUGAAAUAGUUUUUUGCCAAACCUUUUUCUGUUUUACAAACAGUUCUUUUGAGAACUUAUUUUGUGCCAUUCGGUAUUUAACCUAACAUUCGAAUGCGCUUGAAUUUUCAAGCUCCUAUGCUUGUGGGAAAUUAAAUCUUGUACUUAACGUCUGAAAGAGAUAAUAAGGGACCCCUAAUUUCCUUGAAUGCUAUCCAAGAGAGAGUUGCUGAUCUUUGAAGAUAAGCCUUCAAACAGUAUCAAGCAUAAAAAUUUUCAAAGACCGAAAUGAGUUGCCCUCAACACCAGGCAAGGACUGGCCACGGAGGAAGGAAAAGACUCAAGAUCUUAAUGAAUUUACAAAAAUGGAUGUUUGUAGUACAUUGUAUGACAUGUAUGCACAAAAAAAACAAGUUACAAUUCAUAUGCUAAAGGAAGAGCUCCAUCAAAAAGAAAUUCUUCACAUUAAUUGUGGAAGCCUUCGAACACUCCUCUUUAACCUGGGAUUUAAAUACCUUAGGGAUGAUAACAGACGUGCAUUAAUGGAGACAACCAAUAUAUCUUCAAUGAGGGCAGCUUUUUUCAGAAAAUAUAUGGAAAACAAAAACUCACCAUUUGCACAUCAACUUGUGCUUUUGGAUGAAACUUGGAUCUUUUCUAAAGGCAGCAAGAUGAGAUCAUGGCAAGACAAUAGUGUUAAUAGUGUUCGUAAGCCAGGUGGUUUUGAUAGAAAAUGUUUUAUUGUGUUGCAUGCUGGACAUAGUGGAGGAUUUAUUAAAAAUGUCAGUUUAAUUUUUGCCUCUAAAUCUAAAAUUGUUAAUUUAAUGCGAUUGAGAUGAUUUGGGCAGAUGCCAAAAAUUUUUACAAUACCCAUAUGGGUGAAAAUGGGCAUAAAGAUGAAAAUGUACUGGAUAUGUGGAAAAAAUCAUUAGAGAAAUGUACACCAGAAGUAUGGAACGCUAAGGUUUGCCACACUGAAAAAAUAAUCAAGGACUGGUAUGAUAGGGAAGUCAUUAUUGAAGAUAUACCCCAAAUUCUGAUUAGUUUAAACAGUGAAACUAGCUCAGAAGAUAGUGACAGUGAUUAUUCAUAAGUACGUAAGAAUAUUUGGGUUAGGGUAUAAUAUCCGGGUUGCUCCAUUUCUUUUAGCAUAUUAUCAUAAUAAGUAUCUCUUAUAGCACACUUAGAACAUACUUAGUAUUUUCCAUGCUAGAGUUUUGUGUAUUGUAUCCAUAAUUAAUAACGGUUCCGUCAGCAUUUUCUUCUUGAACACAUUGUUUAGGUGCAUAUGAUUUUGGUGAAUUUUCUAUUAGAAAAUUGUGCAGCACAACUGCGACCAUUACUAUUUUAAUACUGUUUUCAGGUUCAACAUUAAUUGCGUCGUCGGCGACAUACACAUACGGCAGUUUCCUACCAUUUCCUUAAAAGUAUUAGAAGGUAAAAAGGUGGAGAUGGUUACUGUGUUGUCAGAAUUUGAAUAUAAAUCAAAAUUUUCGCAUCUUGUGUUAAAAAAAGUGUUAAUACAACAAUUUCUGGUGAUGUUCUAUAGGUGACUGAUAAAAUUGUUGUUUCUAUUACGUUAAAUGAAUACUCUGAUUUAGCUCAUAACUUAGAAUAAAUAGUGCUCAGAUCACUGAAAUAUUUUGUAUGUUUAAUGGGUCUCCAAUUGCAGAAUGUCUUUAUGCUCUGUGAUUAACAAUUACAGUAAUUAAUGUGAUUACAAUCCUAAAUGAAUGUAUUAAAGUUGUUAAGGCCCAAUUGAUUUUUAAGGAAGAUGCUACACCAGUGUUCUAUAAGAGAUACUUAAAAGUAGAAUUCCUAAUCUAUGUUCUUGUUUGUAAAAAAAAAAGAAAAAUUUGAAUGGAGGU
rnacentral:lncRNA from 1 species